rnacentral:miRNA from 1 species
AAGCACGGAGGUGUCAGAAAAGUUACCACAGGAUAACUUGCCUCGUGGCGGCCCAGCGGUUCAUAGCGACGUCGCUUUUUGAUCCUUCGA